AGAGUUUGAUCAUGGCUCAGGACGAACGCUGGCGGCGUGCCUAAUACAUGCAAGUAGAACGCUGAAGAGAGGAGCUUGCUCUUCUUGGAUGAGUUGCGAACGGGUGAGUAACGCGUAGGUAACCUGCCUUGUAGCGGGGGAUAACUAUUGGAAACGAUAGCUAAUACCGCAUAACAAUGGAUGACCCAUGUCAUUUAUUUGAAAGGGGCAAAUGCUCCACUACAAGAUGGACCUGCGUUGUAUUAGCUAGUAGGUGAGGUAACGGCUCACCUAGGCGACGAUACAUAGCCGACCUGAGAGGGUGAUCGGCCACACUGGGACUGAGACACGGCCCAGACUCCUACGGGAGGCAGCGGUAGGGAAUCUUCGGCAAUGGGGGCAACCCUGACCGAGCAACGCCGCGUGAGUGAAGAAGGUUUUCGGAUCGUAAAGCUCUGUUGUAAGUCAAGAACGAGUGUGAGAGUGGAAAGUUCACACUGUGACGGUAGCUUACCAGAAAGGGACGGCUAACUACGUGCCAGCAGCCGCGGUAAUACGUAGGUCCCGAGCGUUGUCCGGAUUUAUUGGGCGUAAAGCGAGCGCAGGCGGUUUGAUGAGUCUGAAGUUAAAGGCUGUGGCUCAACCAUAGUUCGCUUUGGAAACUGUCAAACUUGAGUGCAGAAGGGGAGAGUGGAAUUCCAUGUGUAGCGGUGAAAUGCGUAGAUAUAUGGAGGAACACCGGUGGCGAAAGCGGCUCUCUGGUCUGUAACUGACGCUGAGGCUCGAAAGCGUGGGGAGCGAACAGGAUUAGAUACCCUGGUAGUCCACGCCGUAAACGAUGAGUGCUAGGUGUUGGAUCCUUUCCGGGAUUCAGUGCCGCAGCUAACGCAUUAAGCACUCCGCCUGGGGAGUACGACCGCAAGGUUGAAACUCAAAGGAAUUGACGGGGGCCCGCACAAGCGGUGGAGCAUGUGGUUUAAUUCGAAGCAACGCGAAGAACCUUACCAGGUCUUGACAUCCCGAUGCUAUUUCUAGAGAUAGAAAGUUACUUCGGUACAUCGGUGACAGGUGGUGCAUGGUUGUCGUCAGCUCGUGUCGUGAGAUGUUGGGUUAAGUCCCGCAACGAGCGCAACCCCUAUUGUUAGUUGCCAUCAUUCAGUUGGGCACUCUAGCGAGACUGCCGGUAAUAAACCGGAGGAAGGUGGGGAUGACGUCAAAUCAUCAUGCCCCUUAUGACCUGGGCUACACACGUGCUACAAUGGUUGGUACAACGAGUUGCGAGUCGGUGACGGCAAGCUAAUCUCUUAAAGCCAAUCUCAGUUCGGAUUGUAGGCUGCAACUCGCCUACAUGAAGUCGGAAUCGCUAGUAAUCGCGGAUCAGCACGCCGCGGUGAAUACGUUCCCGGGCCUUGUACACACCGCCCGUCACACCACGAGAGUUUGUAACACCCGAAGUCGGUGAGGUAACCUUUUGGAGCCAGCCGCCUAAGGUGGGAUAGAUGAUUGGGGUGAAGUCGUAACAAGGUA
rnacentral:rRNA from 1 species